ACGAACCAUCCGUGUACCACCACCGGCCCCUCUCUCUCCCGCACGCGAACCCGGAAGCCUCGCUUCCGCCGCCGUCGCCGCCGCUCCGCACCGCGACGCAGAGCUCGCCCGUGCUCCCCUACGCACGGAGCUCCCGGCUCUCGUCGGCGCAGGGAUUUGUUCACCAUGGCCCGCUUGUACGUUGGCAACUUGGAUGCCCGGGUGACUGCUGGGGAACUUGAAGAUGAGUUUCGUGUGUUUGGAGUUUUGCGAAGUGUCUGGGUUGCACGUAAGCCACCUGGUUUUGCGUUUAUUGAUUUUGACGACAAGCGGGAUGCUGAGGAUGCACUUCGUGAUCUAGAUGGCAAGAAUGGAUGGAGGGUUGAGCUGUCUCGCAAUGACCGUGGUGACCGUGGAGGUCGUGGUGGUGGUGGCGGCGGCGGCGGUGGCGGUCGUGAUCGUGGUGGUUCUGAUAUGAAAUGCUAUGAAUGUGGUGAAUCUGGGCACUUUGCUCGUGAAUGUCGUCUGCGUAUUGGUGCUGGGGGUCUGGGCAGUGGAAGGCGUCGCAGCAGGAGCCGCAGCCGCAGCCGCAGUCCUAGGUACCGCAGGAGUCCGAGCUAUGGCAGAAGAAGUUACAGCCCUCGUGAUCGCUCUCCAAGACGCCGCAGUGCUUCUCCAGCCCCAGCCCGUGGUCGCAGCUAUAGCAAGUCACCAGUCCGUGCCAGGGAUGAUUCUCCUGAUGCUAAAGGGUAUCGCCGCAGCCGGAGUUAGACCUGAAGCCCGUGUCCGAUGCAUGUUCUCUGAGAGAAGUUACUCUUUAGCUCUGCCUGCUAGGAGUACUGAGACCUGAUGUCAACUUCUUGACUUCGGUUAAGAAGGCAUCGUCCUGCACUUCUGCUUAAACAACUCAGCCAACUUCGGCUCUUCAGUUGUUGUCUUCGUGGUUUUCUUGUUCGCUCUUCAUUCUUCGCACGCCCUUACUGCUUCGCGCAUCCUGCAUUAGUCCCUGCCUGCGAUGCCUCUGAUGUUCUUCGUUGAAGAGCUGCCUUCAAAAUUAGUAAUCUCUUUAUCUCAAAUUGAUAAGUUUGGAUGUGCUGACAAGUGCAACUUGUUAAAGUAACCGGAUCACUGAUUUUGUAUAUAGAACCAGGAGUCAGCAAGGUAUUGACCGUGCAGCACUCGAGUGAAACUAAAUCUACAUCCUGUUCAUAGGGUGAAAAAUGGGCCUUGAGCUGCGCUCUGUAGUUGAGCAUCAAGGAAUUUGAUGAGGCCGGCUUCACCGAGAGUCCACUUAAAACAGUUUUGUGGACUUCAUCUCGGCUUUAUUCUCGGCUUCAGCGAGAGUCAAUCCAUUUAAAGAGUUGUGCGGACUUCAUCGGCUUUAUUCUCGGCAUUCAUAUUCUUCGCAGUCUGCAUAGUCUGCCUGCUGCUUGCUGCCUGCACUGCACUGCACUGCAUAGUCUCAACUUCAUCUUCAUCUGCGUGCUUCAUUUGUUAUCUUCGACAAAACGAGUAUAUUUCUGCCUGCUGCCUACACUGCAUAGUCUCCGUCUCCGUCUUCUGCCUGCUGCCUGCACUGCUUAGUCUCUGAAUGGGAAUGUCUUGCCAUCUCCAAGAUGUGAUGCAUUCUUGCUUUCUAUAUUAGGCAAGUCCUUAAAUUGUUAUUGAAGUACUUGUGACCUAAUAUUGCAUUUAGUAUGAAACUACUGUGUACUGGCCAUUCAGCAGCUGUACUUGUACACCUUUUCACAUUAGACAUCCAAAGAUAAACUUCAUGUGC